rnacentral:rRNA from 1 species
UUAAAUAAAGCAUCUAGUGGAUACCUAGACAUAAGAAGCACUGAGGCGUCGCGCGACGAAACAUCAUACGUAGGCACAAGCCUGUGAGGUAUGAGUUCCUCUUAAGUAAAAACUUUUUGUAUACAAACAAGGUUACCCUGCGAAUUGAAACAUCUCAGUAGCAGGAGGAAAAAAAAUCAAACGAGAUUCCAUAAGUAGCGGUGAGCGAACAUGGACAUUAGACUUUCUAUAUGAUGGGGUCGGUGUGAAACAGCCGUAGAAGGUAAGAGCCCUGUAACACCCUCCUGAUUUAGAUAAUAAGUACUUUGGGACAACACGAAUCCCGUAGGAACACAGAAGGUCCACUUUCUAAGUCUAAAUACUUCUUAUGCUCGAUAGUGAACGAGUACCGUAAGGGAAAGGUGAAAAGAAAGGUUUAACCUAGGUCUGACCUUGAAACUGGAUGCUGACAAUCAGUUGGAGCCUCCUCUGGGGGGUGACAACGUACCUUUUGCAUAAUGGGUCGGUGACUAAAUAAGUGUAGCAAGCUAAAAUUGAAAAAUGGAAGCUGGCGGAAUAAAGUCCAACUCAAAAGUUACACUUGUUUAACUCGAAGCUAGGUGAUCUAGGCGAAAGCAGGCCGAAAUUGUGGUAAGACAUAAUGGAGGGCCGAACCCACAUAUGUGGAAAAAUAUUGGGAUGACUUUCGCUUAGGAGUGAAAGGCUAAUCAAACCUAGUGAUAGCUAGUUUUCCACGAAAUCUAUUUUAGUAGAGUCUUCCGUAAAUUUACUGCUGGUAAAGCACUGGAUGGACAAGGGUGGCUUAGCUUGACCGAGUCCAACUAAACUAUGAAUAGCAGUGAAACAUCACGAAGAAACAGACUUUAAGCGAUAAGGUUUAAGGUCAAGAGGGUAACAACCCAGACCGUUCAUUAAGGUCCCCAAAAGCAUGUAAGUUGAAAAGGAAGUUGGAGUAUAACGAGAUAGUAAGUAGGCUUAGAAGCAGCCAUCUAUUAAAGAACGCGUUAUAGCGCACUACUUUAUACUGCAGCGCCAAAGAUGUAACGGGUAUAAACAUGCUUACCGAUAUGACGGCUUCUAUCCCCUCCUGAGGGUAGAAGGGUAGUGGAACAUUCUGUUUAUAAAUAAGUAUUUUUGGAAAAAGGUAUGAAAAACCAGAAGUGAGAAUACCGACAUGAGUAGCGAAAACCAUGUUCUCAAAUCAUGGUCACCGUAAGCCCAAGGGUUUCUACGCAGUUUCAAUCGCGUAGAGUUAGCCAGCCUCUAAGGAAAAAGCGAAGGCUUUUUUUCGACGAGAAAGUUCUGUCUAGAACUGCCAUACGCGAGAAUUUAUAAGAGAAACCUUAUAAGACGAGAUUCCGCUAGGGAACUUCUUAUCAUGACAUGUAAGAAGUUUUUUGCGUAUCUACAGGAAACAAUCGCGUUUGUUCGAUGGCUGUACCCUAAACCGACACAGGUGGGCGAGUUGAACAUACUAAGGUGAGCGGGAUAACCAUACUGAAGGAACUCGGCAAAUUGAUCCCUUACGUUCGCAAGGAGGGAUGCCACGUAUGUACGUGGUGGCACAGAAUAAAGGAUGGCGACUGUUUAAUAAAAACACAGGACCUUGCAAACUUCAAUAAAGUAAGUAUAAGGUCUGACGUUUGCCAGGUGCUUGAAGGUUAACGAACAAGGUGUACGCCUUUGCAGUAAGCCCAAGUAAACGGCGGUCCUAACUAUAAGGAUCCUAAGGUAGCGUAACCCACUGGCGUAUAAUUUACGUCCCGCAUGAAUAACGUAACGACUAUCCUGCUGUCUCCAGUAUGGACCCGGCGAAAUUGAACUCUCCGUGCAGAUGCGGAGUACUUACAGCUAGACGGAAAGACCCCGUGAUUCUUUACUAUAGUUUUGUACUGUAGCUUACGCUAGAUCGUGUAGCAUAGGUGGGAGUUAUACAAUAGUUGUAACGCCUUUGAAAUACCACCCUAUAUAGCGCGAAAGUUACUCAUUUGCAAGCUUAGCAAAGACAGUGCAAGAUGGGUAGUUUAUUUGGGGCGAAUACCUCCUAAAGUGUAACGGAGGUGUGCUAAGGUAAGCUUGCAUUCGCACAAUAUGAAUGCUAAAGCGCAAUGGCAAAAGCUUGCCUGACAGUUGGAUAGAUAUAUACAACUGAGACGAAAGUCAGUCAUAGUGAUCCGGUGGUAUCCAGUGGAAAAACCAUCGCUCAACAGAUAAAAGAAACUCCGGGGAUAACAGCGUUAUCGUUCCUAAGAGUUCCUAUCGACGGAACGGUUUGCGACCUCGAUGUCGGCUCAUCAUAUCCUGGAGCUGCAGCAGGCUCCAAGGGUCCGGGUGUUCACCGGUUAAAAUGGUACGUGAGCUGGGUUUAGAACGUCGUGAGACAGUUUGGUCCCUAUCUACUGUAAGUGAAGAAAAUUGUAGAGUGCCAUUCUUAGUACGAGAGGAUUGGAAUGGGUCAACCUCUGGUGUAUUGGUUGUCGAGGUCAUGGCAUAGCCAAGUAGCCACGUUGGUAAGACAUAAGCGCUGAAAGCAUCUAAGCACGAAGGUGUCUCUAAUACAUAUUUUCGGGAGCACUCUAGAAGAACACUAGAUGGAUCGGUCCAUUGUAUAUCACUCGUGAGAGUGCAGGCAUAUGGAUACGAAGAUGCUCAAGAAUCUUAUUUCAUGUUUGAAAACGGAGGCUUCCGUUUUCAAAUAUGACCACA